GUGUGGUGUUCAGCACCAGGGACAGCUGUGGUUACCUGUGUGUGGUGUUCAGCACCAGGGACAGCUGUGUUUACCU
rnacentral:pre_miRNA from 1 species